UACGUAGGGCGCAAGCGUUGUCCGGAAUUAUUGGGCGUAAAGAGCUCGUAGGCGGUUUGUCGCGUCUGUCGUGAAAGCUUGGGGCUUAACCCCAAGUCUGCGGUGGAUACGGGCGGACUAGAGGCAGGUAGGGGAGAACGGAAUUCCCGGUGUAGCGGUGAAAUGCGCAGAUAUCGGGAGGAACACCGGUGGCGAAGGCGGUUCUCUGGGCCUGUACUGACGCUGAGGAGCGAAAGCGUGGGGAGCGAACAGG
rnacentral:rRNA from 1 species